UCUAUCUUAGAUUCCUUCAGA
rnacentral:piRNA from 1 species